CACAGGUUGACUUUAAUAGUUUGAACGACUACCGCUCCCACUUUGUUUUUGAGGUUUAUCCUUAUCUCCAGCAGGUGGUGUGUGCUGUACUGAGAGGUUAAUACAAUUACAUCUAAUGCAGUCAAGCUUCUCUCCAAGUGCAAGCACAUGACACGUUUUCCAUCAGCAGGGUGAUUAGAGAGGCAGAAUUUAAGACGUUGCUUCUGAUUUCAGCUUCUUUCCUUGCAAACAUGACUCCAACAGGUCAGGACAAAUUCAUCCGUCUCCAGAAUCCUGCGCUCAUCAUUUUAGCCGAUAUGCUGUUGACCUGGCGCCAGCACUGCAAAACAGGACAAGUAAUUUAAUUUGCCAUCACCGCCAACCUUGAAGAGAGGAAUGUAGGCUAGCAGAAUCCCAAUUGGGAGGCAUGAAGAAAAUUUGCUGGCGACUGAGAAAGAGGUGACGUGGAUCUGCAUGUUGCGUCACAUCCAGGUGUCUCACCUCUAAAGAUGUAGAUUUUCCCUUUAGGUUUGCGAUAAGAAAUUGGAAAAUAAAAUCCUUAGCUAAAGUAAUGUUA